AUGCCGAUCCCGAGCGAAGGUGAACAAAGGGGUGUCCUCGCGGGCGCCCGCAGCGUAGGAGUGUGCCCCGGGAGCGCUGCCACGCGCGCCCACGGUCUCCGCGUGCCCUCUGGCUGCGCCGUCCUUCCAGUGCGGAGCCCAGAGCCACGGGGCCCGCCCCGGCUGUCGGGGAAGACUGAGGACUCAGGCUCCCGGUCGGCCUCGGCCGAGCGCAGCGGCCAGGAAGCGGGAACCGUGAGGCUGGAAGCGGCUGCCCGCGUGCACGACCAGCUCCAAGCCGUUCUUUGGCAAGUGACAGCAGGAGUGAAGCGACUGGAGUGGACGAGGCACCACCGGGAGGAGCAGCCCCGCGGGGCCCCCGGCCGGGCCGUCGAAGCUCGGGCGCUGAGCGGGGGAGUCCUCCCACGCCUCAGCCUGCCAAGCCGGCCCUCCUGGCAGGAUGAAGACAGCCCUCUCCUGAGAAGGGACACUGGCACGCCUGACACAGGCAGUGAGCUGCCCCCGGGGCUGCAUGGGCAGGCUGCCAUUGCCAGCGCCCGGCCUGCACCAGCCCCCCCAGGACGCAGCAGGACUGGACAGACGGCCCUCCGACAUCCCAGCGCCCCUGUAGGCCCAGCGCUGCAGACAUCAACCCGACACUCCAAGUUCUAUCAAGAGUGGCAUUUAUUCUCCUCGUGGAGGUGCGGCGCUCCGGGGAGCUGGUGCUAUUGUGCUUAGGAAGGAGGUCUGUCCGUCCGUCCGUCUGUCCGGCCGGCCCAGCCCCAAACGGGGGCGGAAGAGGGGCGCGGCCCGAGUAAAAAUCCCGGCCUGUUCCGGGUGGGAGUAUGUACAAGGCGACGGGGCUCAGGCGGGGGUGGGGGCGGGGCAGGCCGGCGGCCGCAACCCCCACCCGAGGGCCCCCGCAUCUCGGGCCCUACUCGUAGAAUCAGUACAAAAUAGGUGCUACCUAAACGUUCCUUCUACCUGAAUUCGCUAAGUCGGUUAUUGUGCUGCUUAGUUAUGGGGGCGGGAGGGGGCCCAUGGCUUUCCACGGCGGCGGGGUGUAGGGAGAAGCGGGAGCCCUGGCCGGCCCAUGGCCCUCUGGCCUUCUCCUUAGGUAGGUAGACAGGCAUGUGGGGGUGCGGCGGGGCGCCUGUGUGUGCGUGUGCAUGCGGGUGUGCCCAGCACAGGAGGGCAGGCCCCUGCUUGGGAGCUGUGUGGACACGGGGCUGUGGUAUAGAGGGUUUUGGAUAUGGGCCCUGCUGGGCUGGGCCCUCAGUCUGCUCCGGCAGGUGCAGCUGGGUAGCAGCUUGGUGCCCAGUGGGUUGGGGCUGACCAGGCCAUACACUCCAGCGUGCACCUUUUGUCUGGCCUGCGGUCCUGGCCCCACACAGCAGAGCCCGGGAGGCCAGGAGAUGGAAGGACUGAGAGUUGGUGGUAUGGGUGGCCCUGCUCAUGCUGGGCCUUGGGGCCCUGGGUCUGUGCCACCUGAGCUGAGAACGCCAGGUGCAAGUCAAAGGUCGAACCCAGUUGCACCCAGCACUGGCCCCUGGCUGGGGCGGGGAAGAGGUAAGGGGGAUGCAGGGCUGGGUCUAGGGACCAGGCCUUUCUCUGCAGAUGCAGCCCUCCUUGGCCCACCCAAACCUGCUGGACCCCUGUCACCCACAUGCACCCCCCGCAGGUCGCUGCAUCUCUGGCCGACUCUGCAGCGGGCCUGGCACAUGGUAGGUGCCCAAUGAACAGUCCGUCGGUGGGUGAUGGAUGACUGAAGGAGGGGUCUCGGGCGCAACCGCCCUGCCCCUGCCCCUGGAGCCGUUACACCCGCAGGGCUCUGCCGUGGGGGGGAGGGAGGAGGGGGAAAGAAAGUCUGCGCGUCCGGCCCCGCGCAAUGUCCCUGAUCUAGGGGCCUAUGGGGUGGGUAGGGCAGGGGGAUACCUGAUUCUCAGUAACUCUAGAGGCGGCGGCAGCUUCGCAUGCAGUGCGCAUUAUUGCUCUAUAGUCGGCGUCGGACUAACUAAGGGACAGGAAGCGGGCAGCCCCGGGAAGGGACGGGAGGGGGUGGGGCUGCAUGCAGUGACGUCACAAAGGCGGCGGCCAAUGGGGCGGGCCCUUGGGGCGGGGUCGCCGCCGAGGCUUUGGCAUAGACCGGCGAAAGUUGGCAACCGAGUGGGGGCGGGGCCCAGGGGGCGGGGAAGGUAACCCCGGACGUCCCGAGCCCCCGGCGUCGGCGGGAAGGAUGGGGGCCUCAGCGCCCCUUCCCCGACCCGAGUGCAAUCCGUUCAUAAAUAAAACGUACAAAUACAGAAAGAAAGAAACCCGA
rnacentral:lncRNA from 12 species